rnacentral:rRNA from 1 species
UGAGGAAUCUUGCGCAAUGGGGGAAACCCUGACGCAGCAACGCCGCGUGAGUGAGGAAGGCCUUCGGGUCGUAAAGCUCUGUCAGAUGGGAAGAAAUGGGUGGGGGCUAAUAUCGUCCAUCCUUGACGGUACCAUCAGAGGAAGCACCGGCUAACUCCGUGCCAGCAGCCGCGGUAAUACGGGGGGUGCAAGCGUUGUUCAGAAUCAUUGGGCGUAAAGCGCGCGCAGGCGGCUUGGUCAGUCAGAUGUGAAAGCCCUGGGCUUAACCCAGGAAGUGCAUUUGAUACUGCCUCGCUAGAGUACGGGAGAGGAAAGUGGAAUUCCUGGUGUAGAGGUGAAAUUCGUAGAUAUCAGGAGGAACACCGGUGGCGAAGGCGACUUUCUGGCCCGAUACUGACGCUCAGGCGCGAAAGCGUGGGGAGCAAACAG